rnacentral:rRNA from 1 species
GAACAUAAGAGUUUGAUCCUGGCUCAGAUUGAACGCUGGCGGCAUGCUUUACACAUGCAAGUCGGACGGCAGCACAGAGAAGCUUGCUUCUUGGGUGGCGAGUGGCGAACGGGUGAGUAAUAUAUCGGAACGUACCGAGUAAUGGGGGAUAACUAAUCGAAAGAUUAGCUAAUACCGCAUAUUCUCUGAGGAGGAAAGCAGGGGACCUUCGGGCCUUGCGUUAUUCGAGCGGCCGAUAUCUGAUUAGCUAGUUGGUGGGGUAAAGGCCUACCAAGGCGACGAUCAGUAGCGGGUCUGAGAGGAUGAUCCGCCACACUGGGACUGAGACACGGCCCAGACUCCUACGGGAGGCAGCAGUGGGGAAUUUUGGACAAUGGGCGCAAGCCUGAUCCAGCCAUGCCGCGUGUCUGAAGAAGGCCUUCGGGUUGUAAAGGACUUUUGUCAGGGAAGAAAAGGCUGUUGCUAAUACCGACAGCUGAUGACGGUACCUGAAGAAUAAGCACCGGCUAACUACGUGCCAGCAGCCGCGGUAAUACGUAGGGUGCGAGCGUUAAUCGGAAUUACUGGGCGUAAAGCGAGCGCAGACGGUUACUUAAGCAGGAUGUGAAAUCCCCGGGCUCAACCUGGGAACUGCGUUCUGAACUGGGUGACUAGAGUGUGUCAGAGGGAGGUAGAAUUCCACGUGUAGCAGUGAAAUGCGUAGAGAUGUGGAGGAAUACCGAUGGCGAAGGCAGCCUCCUGGGAUAACACUGACGUUCAUGCUCGAAAGCGUGGGUAGCAAACAGGAUUAGAUACCCUGGUAGUCCACGCCCUAAACGAUGUCAAUUAGCUGUUGGGCAACUUGAUUGCUUAGUAGCGUAGCUAACGCGUGAAAUUGACCGCCUGGGGAGUACGGUCGCAAGAUUAAAACUCAAAGGAAUUGACGGGGACCCGCACAAGUAGCGGAGCAUGUGGUUU